CGUGAACGCUGGCGGUAGGCCUAACACGUGCAAGUCGAACGGCAGCACAGGAGAGCUUGCUCUCUGGGUGGCGAGUGGCGGACGGGUGAGGAAUACAUCGGAAUCUGCCCAGUCGUGGGGGAUAACUUAGGGAAACUUACGCUAAUACCGCAUACGACCUUCGGGUGAAAGAGGGGGAUCGCAAGACCUCUCGCGAUUGGAUGAGCCGAUGUCGGAUUAGCUAGUUGGCGGGGUAAUGGCCCACCAAGGCGACGAUCCGUAGCUGGUCUGAGAGGAUGAUCAGCCACACUGGAACUGAGACACGGUCCAGACUCCUACGGGAGGCAGCAGUGGGGAAUAUUGGACAAUGGGCGCAAGCCUGAUCCAGCCAUACCGCGUGGGUGAAGAAGGCCUUCGGGUUGUAAAGCCCUUUUGUUGGGAAAGAAAUCUUUCAGGCUAAUACCCUGGGAGGAUGACGGUACCCAAAGAAUAAGCACCGGCUAACUUCGUG
rnacentral:rRNA from 1 species